rnacentral:lncRNA from 1 species
UCCUAUCCUAGGUAUUCCUUAAAGAGGUGGGGUUUCAGGUGUCUCCGGAAGGUGGUGAUUGACUCCGCUGUCCUGGCGUCGUGAGGGAGCUUGUUCCACCAUUGGGGUGCCAGAGCAGCAAACAGUUUUGACUGGGCUGAGCGGGAACUGUGCUUCCUCAGAGGUAGGGGGGCCAGCAGGCCAGUGGUGGAUGAACGCAGUGCCCUUGUUUGGGUGUAGGGCCUGAUCAGAGCCUGAAGGUAUGGAGGUGCCCAGGGCGAAAAUCCUUGCCUGGUAUUUAAUCAUUGCCUGAAACCAUGCCUGGUAAUUUGCAUCUCCAAGUCCUGCACCCUCUCCUGAAAAUCCAGGUCGUGGCAUAUAUAAAUAGUAAAGUAAUGUACAGGUACCCCCCCAAAAUACUUAAGUAGUACUUUAAAGUAUUUUUAUUGAAGUACUUUACACUACUGCCCAAAUAUCUUCACACCAGACAUUAACAUACUUUUACACAUGCACUUAUCACAUAGUAUACCAUACAUAAGUUAAGGCCAUGAAACCUGAGUGAGGUGCACGUGUACGGUUGUCACGUCCUGACCAGUAUAAGGGGUUAUUGGUUAUUUUAGUUUGGUCAGGACGUGGCAGGGGGUAUUUGUUUUAUGUGUUUGGUGUUUAAUGGGAUAUGUAUUUAUGUAAGAGGGGUGUUUGAUUUAUGUGUUCCCGGGUUUUUGGGUAAUGUUCUUGUUUUAUAUUUCUUUGUUGGCCUGGUAUGGCUCUCAAUCAGGAACAGCUGUACAUUGUUGUUGCUGAUUGAGAGUCAUACUUAAGUAGCCCUGUUUUCACCUGUCCCUUUGUGAGAAGUUGUUGUUGCAAUACUGUUCGUUUCGUACGUUUUCUUGUUUUGUUUUUGUUACGUGUUCUAAUAAAGUUAAGAUGAGCACUCAACCCGCUGCGCCUUGGUCCAGUAUAUACGACGAUCGUAACAACGGUACAUAAACAGAUGCAUGCGUCAUAUGUUUGUGGUGGACACUUGAUACAGUCAAAUGAUAUUGUUGUGGUAUGUCACAAAAUCAUGUUACGACCACACAUAACAAUAUUAAUUUCAUAUAUCAAUAUCUUGCUAAGUAUAUGGGUCUCUACAGAAGGUGUAAACGGUACAGCCAAAUGGUUACUUGCAUAGUAUCAAUAUCAGAAAUAGUGUCAAAUUAAAUAAAAUAAUAUACAGUGUGUACAAGAACAAUAUCAGUAAUAGAUGAGGUAGUUAUAUGCAUACAAUCAGGGGUGAAGUGGCUGAGCAGCAGGAUAAAAAAAAAUAGUAGCAGCAACAUCUGGUGUGUGUGUUGGGAGAGAGUCAUUUGAAUAGAGGCACUGUGGAUAGUGCUGAUGACUGGUCCGUCUGAAACACGCAUGAACAAGGGAAUCUACAUUGGAGAUCCUGUUUCUGUCCUGCCCUUGACUGUGGUGCAGAGCAUGUGAUGUCCAUAGCCUCUUCAUCACCUCUUGAUCUUGUUAAAAAUAUAUGUUUGUCUAGCUGUGUCCAGUCCAGGUGGUGCUUUUACAGGCAGACCAUCUAUGGGAGGAAGGAUGUCAGCAUUGCGCAGCAGCUGAAACCUGGUCCAGACUGAGUCCGAAACGCUCCUUGGCGACAACAACACCAGGCUCCAAAGCAUCGAAGCUGUAAAACAGGGAAAAAAAUCAGAAGACAUUACAACCUUGCACAACAUCAAUUCACCUCCCAAGUUUAUAUAAGAAGAAUAACCUGAUACAAUGCAAUGAAAAUUAUUUUCACUUGAAGUGCUGGUACUGCUUGAUCUGUGGUACGGGUCAGGUGUUGUUGUCAGCCAUAGCUUUCCACCAGCACUGCAUCAUCCUCCAGUCCAAUCAGGUGUGGGAUGGAUGUUGACUCCUGCACAGUGCUGUCCUUCACAACACCAGCAAUCUCAGACAAAGUGUUCAUUCUGGUCUUUUGGAAUCGCUGCUUGAUGAGGCUGAAGCACCAGUCGGGGGCAAACUUGGGUGUGGCCUGUAAUCAGGAAGGCCAGACACAAUAGCAGAGCACAAACUUGUUCUUGUUUUGGCCACUGCAGUUAUCACAAUUCAGGUCCACAAGUGUUUCCCCAACUCUGUAAUUGGUGAAGAAAUUCUGCUUGUUGUUGAUGACUGCGCUGCUCCUUUGCUGGAUGACAUGCCUUCAUCAAUCAAGUAGUUGACUUGUUGUGGAACUCCUUCACAGCAGACACCAAACAAGCCACACCUGCGAGGAGUUAAGGAUAGUGCACCUGCAAGCAACAAAUGAACAGUAAGAUAAAUUACAAUUCAUUGUCUGACCCCUCAGUGAAAGGUAUUUGCCUGCCUGCCUCUCUCUUCUGACUUCAUGUGUGUAUGUGUGUAUGUGUGUAUGGAUGGAUGGAUGGAUGGAUGGAUGGAUGGAUGGAUGGAUGGAUGGAUAGAUGGCAUAUUAUUAAACACUAAUAAAUCUAUCUGUAAAUACGAAUAGAAUUAUUAAAUUAGGAGCCUACUUGGUUAAGCCACAGAAAAAGAAAGCAACCUUUCUGCUAGCCAUGACUGGCUGAGAUAAUGAGUGGCUGGACAUGCAGAGAGAUGAGUUUCAGCACUGGUUUAAUAUGGCCUGUGUCAGUAAAUGUCGGCAAAAAAAGAGUAAUUAAAUGGUUGCCAGAAGUACAGUUAGUCACCAACGCUCUGGAUAACAUGAACACAGCCUAACCAGCUCUGCUAGGAUGAGUAAAAUGGUCAGAGUUUGGGUGGGGGCUGAAACUUAACAUGUUUCUUAUGGCAUUGCAGAUGGUCAGUGUGACAAUGGGCCAAGUAAGCUGAACAUACAAGACGGAAAGGACAUAGGACGUCUUAUUUCAUGAAAGGAGUUGGAGUCUGCCGUCAAGCUUUCAUCCAUGUUUACGGCAUCAGUAGAACACACCUGACUCUCCUUCGCCAGUCAUACAAAGAGAAUGGUCUAAUGCCUCCCUUUAAAAAGACAGCUGGCCCAAGCAAGCACGGGUUACACCUGAAGCAUGAGGACUUGCAGCGAGUGGUAAACUUCAACAACAACUACGCAGAGGAUAAUGCAAUAAAUAGUAUUACCAGGACGCCACCCAGGACACAAACACUUUGGUGGAAAGCUGCUCGCAUCCCAUGUGACAAGCAACAGUGUGGCGUCUCUACAAGGAAUCGAUGACAACACUUAAAGCUGUUAAGUAAGCCAAGGAAAAUAAGCAUCUCCUGCUUGUUCAGAGUGAGCAGUCUGUCUACCAGAAGAUGGUUACUGACUGCAAGACCACCUGUCAAGACCUGCAGUUGUCUCAGGGGGCCCCUACUGAACCAGCAAGCAAAGACAUCAGGAUGCAUUACAGCUUGCAUUUUGCUCUACAAAGGAUCUCUGCUGUGACGUGACACUUCCUACGGCUCCCAUGGGUUCUCAGA